AGUACUUCCUGAACAUUCUGGCGCUAAUCUGCUAGCUCCGCCUAGCGUGAAAAGAUAUUUUCACUCCGUUCAGCUCGCUUAAUUUCAACCGAAGCGAGUUGAAACAGAUGGGAAUGUAGAAAUGUGAAGAAGGGGAAGGAGGAUGAGGAGGACCAGACGGAGGGAGAGCCGAAAGUCGGUCAUGUUUGUGCCGCUGCUAGCUUGAAAAUGCUAACCGGAAAUUAAAUUCAAGCUGUUUACGGUCGACUGGAAGCGCGAGUAUGGAGGCCGGAGGCGCAGGCAGAGUUUGGAGUAGCAGGCUGUGACGUUCAGCUUGGGCAGAGGCAGGUGGGCUGGCAGGGCAGAGACACCAUCACAUGAUUUACCAACCAUAAUGCAAAGCUUAGUCAUCAGAUGACUGCAAACAUGAAGUAUGAAAGUUUCCCCGAGGCAAUCAUUAAAAUAAGUGAACCUGAA